UACGUAGGGGGCAAGCGUUGUCCGGAAUCAUUGGGCGUAAAGAGCGUGUAGGCGGCCUGGUAAGUCCGCUGUGAAAGUCCAGGGCUCAACCCUGGAAUGCCGGUGGAAACUGUCAGGCUUGAGUCCGGAAGAGGCGAGUGGAAUUCCUGGUGUAGCGGUGAAAUGCGCAGAUAUCAGGAGGAACACCAAUGGCGAAGGCAGCUCGCUGGGACGGUACUAACGCUGAGACGCGAAAGCGUGGGGAGCAAACAGG
rnacentral:rRNA from 1 species